rnacentral:tRNA from 1 species
GUUGGAUUGGCAGAAUAAGUGCUUUAAAUUUAGAAUUUAAAAAUGUAAAUUUUACAUUCAAUA